rnacentral:rRNA from 1 species
AGUGAACGCUGGCGGUAGGCCUAACACAUGCAAGUCGAACGGCAGCACAGUAAGAGCUUGCUCUUACGGGUGGCGAGUGGCGGACGGGUGAGGAAUACAUCGGAAUCUACUUUUUCGUGGGGGAUAACGUAGGGAAACUUACGCUAAUACCGCAUACGACCUACGGGUGAAAGCAGGGGAUCUUCGGACCUUGCGCGAUUGAAUGAGCCGAUGUCGGAUUAGCUAGUUGGCGGGGUAAAGGCCCACCAAGGCGACGAUCCGUAGCUGGUCUGAGAGGAUGAUCAGCCACACUGGAACUGAGCCACGGUCCCGACUCCUACGGGAGGCAGCAGUGGGGAAUAUUGGACACUGGGCGCAAGCCUGAUCCAGCCAUACCGCGUGGGUGAAGAAGGCCUUCGGGUUGUAAAGCCCUUUUGUUGGGAAAGAAAAGCAGCAGGUUAAUACCCCGCUGUUCUGACGGUACCCAAAGAAUAAGCACCGGCUAACUUCGU